rnacentral:rRNA from 1 species
GAUGAACGCUGGCGGCGUGCCUAAUACAUGCAAGUCGAGCGAACAGACGAGGAGCUUGCUCCUUCGACGUUAGCGGCGGGCGGGUGAGUAACACGUAGGUAACCUACCUAUAAGACUGGGAUAACUUCGGGAAACCGGAGCUAAUACCGGAUAAUAUUUCGAACCGCAUGGUUCGAUAGUGAAAGAUGGCUUUGCUAUCACUUAUAGAUGGACCUGCGCCGUAUUAGCUAGUUGGUAAGGUAACGGCUUACCAAGGCAACGAUACGUAGCCGACCUGAGAGGGUGAUCGGCCACACUGGAACUGAGACACGGUCCAGACUCCUACGGGAGGCAGCAGUAGGGAAUCUUCCGCAAUGGGCGAAAGCCUGACGGAGCAACGCCGCGUGAGUGACGAAGGUCUUCGGAUCGUAAAACUCUGUUAUUAGGGAAGAACAAACGUGUAAGUAACUGUGCACGUCUUGACGGUACCUAAUCAGAAAGCCACGGCUAACUACGUG